rnacentral:rRNA from 1 species
CAGUCGCCGCGGGAAUACGAAGGGGGCUAGCGUUGUUCGGAAUUACUGGGCGUAAAGCGCACGUAGGCGGAUAUUUAAGUCAGGGGUGAAAUCCCAGAGCUCAACUCUGGAACUGCCUUUGAUACUGGGUAUCUUGAGUAUGGAAGAGGUGAGUGGAAUUCCGAGUGUAGAGGUGAAAUUCGUAGAUAUUCGGAGGAACACCAGUGGCGAAGGCGGCUCACUGGUCCAUUACUGACGCUGAGGUGCGAAAGCGUGGGGAGCAAACAGGAUUAGAUACCCGUGUAGUCCCUGUCUCUUAUAC